AUUGAACGCUGGCGGCAGGCCUAACACAUGCAAGUCGAGCGAGCGGCGGACGUGUGAGUAAUUCCUGGUACUUGCCCCGUCGAGGGGUAUCACAGUUGGAAUCUACUUCUAAUACCGCAUACUAUUGUAUUGCCCCUGUGGGAUUAGCUAGUUGGUGAGGAAAUGGCUAACCAAGGCGACGAUCCCUAUCUGGUCUGAGAGGAUGAUCAGCCACACGGGAACUGAGACACGGCCCAGACGCCUACGGGAGGCAGCAGUGGGGAAUAUUGCGCAAUGGGGGAAACCCGGAUGCAGCCAUGCCGCGUGAGUGAAGAAGGCCUUCGGGUUGUAAAGGACUUUCAGCGAGGAGGCGUUACUCGCAGAAGAAGCACCGGCUAACUCCGUGCCAGCAGCCGCGGUAAUUC
rnacentral:rRNA from 1 species